GACGAACGCUGGCGGCGUGCUUAAUACAUGCAAGUCGAGGGACGAAACCGAGAUGGGCAACCAUCGAGGCUGAAACCGGCGAACGGGUGAGUAACACGUGGGUAACGCACCCCAGACACAGGAACAACAACGGGAAACCGUUGCUAAUGCCUGAUAACCCCUGCUUGCCGCAUGGCGGGCAGGGCAAAAGCUCCGGCGGUCUGGGACCGGCCCGCGUCCUAUCAGCUUGUUGGUGGGAAUGGCCUACCAAGGCGAUGACGGUAGCUGGCGUGAGAGCGUGACCAGCCACACUGGGACUGAGACAC
rnacentral:rRNA from 1 species